UCAGUCUUAAGUCAGAUUAGAAGAUUAUGUGAGCUCGAGCUGUAAAAGCCAAAGGUCCGGUGAUGAUCCCAUACCCUUUCUUCCAGUCUCAUGUUGAAGAUUUUUAUGUAGAAGGCCUUCCCAAAGGAAUUUUUUUUUUUUUUUGAGAAGGAGUUUUCACUCUUAUCGCCCAGGCUGGGGUGCAAUGGUGCAACCUUGCUGGUCACUGCAACCUCUGCCUCCUGGGUUCAAGACAUUCUCCUGCCUUAGCCUCCCAAGUCGCUGGGAUUACAGGUGCCCACCACCACACCAGGCUAAUUUUUGUAUUUUUAGUGGAGAUGGGGUUUCACCAUGUUGGCGGGGCCAGUCUCGAACUCCUGACAUCAAGUGAUCUUCCCGCCUCGACUCCUGACAUCAAGUGAUCUUCCCACCUCGGCCUCCCAGAGUGCUGAGAUUACAGACGUGAACCCAUGUCUGGCCAGGAAUUUUGUUUUUUAGGAAGGCUUUCUACUAAUGGAAUUCCUGGCCUUGAGAGGAUGUUACUUUCGAAGAAAAGGAUUUUUUUUGUUAUUAAAAGGUCUCACACUGUCACCCAGGCUGGAGUACAGUGGCACAACCUCUGCUCACUGCAGCCUCCACCUGCCAGGCUCAAACAAUUCUCCUGCCUCAGCC